AAGUCUUUAUAUUGAUGAAUAAAUCAUAGCAGAGAAGUUGUAUAUGUCCAAUUACAUUUAUUGAGCAAUGUCAAAACUUUGGAAGUUAUCCAUGACUAGCAUCAAAUUUGAGUAACAGAUCCCACUAAACAGCAAUGAUCACACAACUGCACAUUCUGCCAUGCAUGGUUAGUGCACAGAAGGACAGAUGGCUCACAUUGUAUAAUCACCUCAAUAAUGCUGGGAUAUAUAUUUAGAUCAUCAACUAAUGAAGCUUCUUUAUCCCAGGAAAUGAUGGAAGGAUUGCAAUGAGAGCAUCACCAUAUCCAACAGGUUCGCCAUCCUCCCGCAGUAUUUUGAUCACCUCACCUGAUACAUCAGACUCAAUUGGAAUCUCGCCGCCCAGCUGUUCAAUGUAGCAAAUCACUUGGCCCUCCUUCACUAUUUGCUUCUCUUUACAUGAUGGGGGAGCACGUUUUCCCUUUAUAGUUCGAGAUCUUCGGAAAAAACCCACCCUUGGAGACUGCAAUAUCAUUAAGCCCUCAUCUGCAGCUCUAUCCAGAAAUGAUUUAAUCCCCCCUGAAAAAGGUACUGGUUUGGAGAUGGCCAAAGAUGUAGAAGACACUGACCCAUUUGAAUCAGGUGCCUUGAUACUGGUAUCCACACUGACAGAGGGGGAAGCAGGAGCAGGGGCAGGGGCAGAGGCAGAAGCAAGAGUAGGCAGAGGUGGAACUUUACUUUUCCCAGUUAAGUCCCUCACCACAUAUAGCCUAAAUCCUCCAACUUUCAAUUCAAACUCUGCAAUAGAACUUGUGUUGCAUAUUUCUGUGACCAGAGAUUCAACCUCAGUUGAAUUUGGAAUAAGUUGGCUUGUUAAAUCAGAUGAUUUAAUCUCUUUGAAGCCGUCCACUCUAUUUGUAGCAGACUCUGUUUCCAGUUUUGGACCACAACACAUGCUCAAUACUUUCUUUGGUUCAUAUGAUAUGGUGAGACCUGCAUAUUGUACUUCUCUCCUGCCUAUCCAUGUCCUGGUGCCAUUCCAUUGCCUCAGAUUCCCAACUCU
rnacentral:misc_RNA from 1 species